rnacentral:rRNA from 1 species
UACGUAGGGGGCUAGCGUUGUCCGGAAUCAUUGGGCGUAAAGCGCGCGUAGGCGGCCCGGUAAGUCCGCUCUGAAAGUCCAGGGCUCAACCCUGGAAAGCGGGUGGAUACUGCCGGGCUCGAGUCCGGAAGAGGCGAGUGGAAUUCCCGGUGUAGCGGUGGAAUGCGUAGAGAUCGGGAAGAACACCCGUGGCGAAGGCGGCCGGCUGGGCCGGAUCCGACGCUGAGGCGCGAAAGCGUGGGGAGCAAACAGG